CUCCAGGUUGCUUGAUGUGCCUUAGGCCUACAUGCUCCUCUGGAUUCUCCUCGGUGUCCAUAGUCUUUGGAAGUGAUCAAGAUUCCACGCCACCACCACAGCGAUCAUUUUGUAUUGGAAAACAGCAGAUGGCCUGGAACUUAUGAAGAAUUCAUAUGCACUGCACUCAAGUACUGUUGUGGGGUGACCUGCUGCCGGACAAGGACGAGGACAGCACCUGGAGUCAGACGUGUUCUUUGGCCUUUGAAGAGAAAACAACAACAAUGUGGACUGUACUUUUAUAUUGUUACAGUAAUAGUAAAUUAAUCACAAAGGAAAAUAAAAACGUCUACUUGCUUAAUGGCCUACAAUAUAAAUGUUUAUGUGUCUGUUGUGCUUUAGCCUGUUUUUACCACCUCAGCGUUCAUACAAUAAUGUACUUGUGUGAUUAGUUAAGUUGGUGCAUGUGUGUUUUUAA